rnacentral:rRNA from 2 species
UGCAAGUCGAGCGGACUUGUUAGAAGCUUGCUUCUAACAAGUUAGCGGCGGACGGGUGAGUAACACGUGGGUAACCUGCCUGUAAGAUGGGGAUAACUCCGGGAAACCGGAGCUAAUACCGAAUAACACUUUCGCUCGCAUGAGCGGAUGUUAAAAGACGGUUUCGGCUGUCACUUACAGAUGGACCCGCGGCGCAUUAGCUAGUUGGUGAGGUAACGGCUCACCAAGGCGACGAUGCGUAGCCGACCUGAGAGGGUGAUCGGCCACACUGGGACUGAGACACGGCCCAGACUCCUACGGGAGGCAGCAGUAGGGAAUCUUCCGCAAUGGACGAAAGUCUGACGGAGCAACGCCGCGUGAGUGAUGAAGGUUUUCGGAUCGUAAAACUCUGUUGUUAGGGAAGAACAAGUAUGAGAGUAACUGCUCGUACCUUGACGGUACCUAACCAGAAAGCCACGGCUAACUACGUGCCAGCAGCCGCGGUAAUACGUAGGUGGCAAGCGUUGUCCGGAAUUAUUGGGCGUAAAGCGCGCGCAGGCGGUUCCUUAAGUCUGAUGUGAAAGCCCACGGCUCAACCGUGGAGGGUCAUUGGAAACUGGGGAACUUGAGUGCAGAAGAGGAAAGCGGAAUUCCACGUGUAGCGGUGAAAUGCGUAGAGAUGUGGAGGAACACCAGUGGCGAAGGCGGCUUUCUGGUCUGUAACUGACGCUGAGGCGCGU